rnacentral:lncRNA from 1 species
AUUUAUAAUUGAUUUAAAUACAUUUACAAUCAACAAUUGAUUGGAUUUAGGACACAACUCCCAAUAGGUUGUUCUUUGGACGCGAAAGGAGUUGGAUCACGGCCGAAUGCUGGGAUUUGAGCUUGAACGCGUUGGAUCCAUCACGGAUAGAGAGCAAGGGAUGCUGGGAUCGAAUGGAUCCUGAGUUCGGUGGGCGAUGAAGACGGGAUGCUAGGAGAUACGCGUAACAGGGGAGCUAGAACGGAUGUGGAGGGAGCACACGAUGCUUGCUUUUCGGAGAGGAUAAGCUUUGUUCUCAGGGGAUCCGGAAGUUGAUUUGAGUCCGCGAGGGGAGCAGCUGGCAGUGGUUGCUGGUUCUCAUCCGUGGGCGGUGGAAGGAAUCGGCGCUUCUUCAACACAGAGAGGAUCUUGGACGCGGCUGGGAUGUGUUGGAUUCAUCAUGGGCGAUGAAGGAUUUGCUGGACAACUGUGAAUGGGAAGGAGUUUGGGACUUAUCCGAAGCAGGGGAUAAGGAUGUAAUCCGAACGGAAGAAAAUCUGGGAAGACGUGAUGCUCAUGGGAUACUCGGACACAGUGUUAGAACCCACCCAUGCCGCUGAUAUUUCAAAACAAAAUCAGAUGGCAACGGAAGAGGCAUGUGCGGGAUCAACGUUCAUCGCAUGAACGUGUUUCAAAACCGUUCGUAGAUAGAUAAAGAUUAAAAACUGUUGACCCCCUAAUGGAUUUUGAUGAAUACAAAACACUAGAGUAUAAUUCCCUGUGUAUUAACAAUUUAUUUGAGGAUUUCAGGUGUUUAUCUAAAAAUCUUGGUAAGAAAUGUCUAGGCAUGUUCCCAUGUUUUUCAAGGAUUUAUUGAAGAAUUUU